UGAGCAAUCUGCCCUUCUCAUCGGAAUAAGCGUUGGAAACGACGUCUAAUACUGGAUAUGAACAGCGACCGCAUGGUCAGUUGUUGGAAAGAUUUUUCGGUCAGGGAUGAGCUCGCGGCCUAUCAGCUUGUUGGUGAGGUAAUGGCUCACCAAGGCGUCGACGGGUAGCCGGCCUGAGAGGGUGACCCGGCCACACUGGGACUGAGACACGGCCCAGACCUGUACGGGA
rnacentral:rRNA from 1 species